GCCUUAACUUUUCGUCCAUUUUUAGCCACUUAUGUCAGUUUUCAUAAGUGGGCCAAAAACAGCAAAAAAGUAAGGCUAUAGCCUUAACUUUUCGUCCAUAUUUAGCCACUUAUGUCAUUUUUCAUAAGUGGGCGAAAAACAGCAAAAAAGUAAGGCUAUAGCCUUAACUUUUCUUCCAUUUUUAGCCACUUAUGUCAUUUUUCAUAAGUGGGCCAAAAACAGCAAAAAAGUAAGGCUAUAUAGCCUUAACUUUUCGUCCAUUUUUAGCCACUUAUGUCAUUUUUCAUAAGUGCGGCAAAAACAGCAACAAAGUAAGGCUAUAGCCUUAACUUUUCGUCCAUUUUUAGCCACUUAUGUCAGUUUUCAUAAGUGGGCCAAAAACAGCAAAAAAGUAAGGCUAUAGCCUUAACUUUUCGUCCAUUUUUAGCCACUUAUGUCAUUUUUCAUAAGUGGGCCAAAACAGCAAAAAAGUAAGGCUAUAGCCUUAUCUUUUCGUCCAUUUUUAGCCACUUUUUCCAUUUUUCAUAAGUGGGCAAAAAACAGCAAAAAAGUAAGGCUAUAGCAUUAACUUUUCGUCCAUUUUUAGUGACUUUUUCCAUUUUUCAUAAGUGGGCAAAAAACAGCAAAAAAGUAAGGCUAUAGCAUUAACUUUUCAUCCAUUUUUAGCAACUUUUUCCAUUUUUCAUAAGUAGGCAAAAAACAGCAAAAAAGUAAGGCUAUAGCAUUAACUUUUCAUCCAUUUUUAGCGACUUUUUCCAUUUUUCAUAAGUGGGCAAAAAACAGCAAAAAAGUAAGGCUAUAGCCUUAACUUUUCGUCCAUUUUUGGCCACUUAUGUCAUUUUUCAUAAGUUGGCCAAAAACAGCAAAAAAGUAAGGCUAUAGCCUUAACUUUUCGUCCAUUUUUAGCCACUUAUGUCAUUUUUCAUAAGUGCGGCAAAAACAGCAAAAAAGUAAGGCUAUAGCCUUAACUUUUCGUCCAUUUUUAGCCACUUAUGUCAUUUUUCAUAAGUGGGCCAAAAACAGCAAAAAAGUAAGGCUAUAGCCUUAACUUUUCGUCCAUUUUUAGCCACUUAUGUCAUUUUUCAUAAGUGGGCCAAAAACAGCAAAAAAGUAAGGCUAUAGCCUUAACUUUUCGUCCAUUUUUAGCCACUUAUGUCAUUUUUCAUAAGAGGGCCAAAAAACAGCAAAAAAUAAGGCUAUAGCCUUAACUUUUCGUCCAUUUUUAGCCACUUAUGUCAUUUUUCAUAAGUGGGCCAAAAACAGCAAAAAAGUAAGGCUAUAGCCUUAACUUUUCGUCCAUUUUUAGCCACUUAUGUCAUUUUUCAUAAGUGGGCCAAAAACAGCAAAAAAUAAGGCUAUAGCCUUAACUUUUCGUCCAUUUUUAGCCACUUAUGUCAUUUUUCAUAAGUGGGCCAAAAACAGCAAAAAAGUAAGGCUAUAGCCUUAACUUUUCGUCCAUUUUUAGCCACUUAUGUCAUUUUUCAUAAGUGCGGCAAAAACAGCAACAAAGUAAGGCUAUAGCCUUAACUUUUCGUCCAUUUUUAGCCACUUAUGUCAUUUUUCAUAAGAGGGCCCAAAACAGCAAAAAAUAGGGCUAUAGCCUUAACUUUUCGUCCAUUUUUAGCCACUUAUAUCAUUUUUCAUAAGUGGGCCAAAAACAGCAAAAAAGUAAGGCUAUAGCCUUAACUUUUCGUCCAUUUUUAGCCACUUAUGUCAUUUUUCAUAAGUGCGGCAAAAACAGCAAAAAAGUAAGGCUAUAGCCUUAACUUUUCGUCCAUUUUUAGCCACUUAUGUCAUUUUUCAUAAGUGGGCCAAAAACAGCAAAAAAGUAAGGCUAUAGCCUUAACUUUUCGUCCAUUUUUAGCCACUUAUGUCAUUUUUCAUAAGUGGGCGAAAACAGCAAAAAAGUAAGGCUAUAGCCUUAACUUUUCGUCCAUUUUUAGCCACUUAUGUAAUUUUUCAUAAGUGGGCCAAAAACAGCAAAAAAGUAAGGCUAUAGCCUUAACUUUUCGUCCAUUUUCAGCCACUUAUGUCAUUUUUCAUAAGUGGGCCAAAAACAGCAAAAAAGUAAGGCUAUAGCCUUAACUUUUCGUCCAUUUUUAGCCACUUAUGUAAUUUUUCAUAAGU
rnacentral:lncRNA from 1 species